rnacentral:rRNA from 1 species
AGGACGAACGCUGGCGGCAGGCCUAACACAUGCAAGUCGAACGCACCGCAAGGUGAGUGGCAGACGGGUGAGUAACGCGUGGGAACCUACCCUUUGGUACGGAACAUACCAGGGAAACCUGGGGUAAUACCGUAUAAGCCCUUCGGGGGAAAGAUUUAUCGCCAUUGGAUGGGCCCGCGUCGGAUUAGCUAGUUGGCGAGGUAACGGCUCACCAAGGCGACGAUCCGUAGCUGGUCUGAGAGGACGAUC